rnacentral:tRNA from 1 species
AACAGCGUAAUAUUCUUUUAUAGAUCUUAUACAAAAGGAUGAUUGCGACCUCGAUGUUG